AGGCUCCAGCUCUUCCCCCUGCUUAAUUUGGGCUUAAGGACAGAUGCCCUGAAUGUUGCAAACUCCACUUCUCUCACCUUCCAUUUCAUUCCACUGGAACACUCUACCACAUCACCCUGAGGUUCUGGACCAGGAGUCAUGCCCUUGUGACCUUGAGACUGCACUCAGGCAGCGUGCAGUGCAGCAGGGAGUCUUCUCCAGCCCCAUCAACUGGAUGAAAGCUUUCCUACAUGGCCCACAUUGUCCUCUGCUUCCCCUCCUGGUUUGCCUCUUUCUCAUCAGAGUUCUGCAGCUCCCAGAGUCUGUUCCAUACCCUCAGUCCAUAUCGGUGGAGAGCCUGCAUGGCCAUGACCUGGAAGGGAGUGGAAGGCAGCGAGCUCUGAUCCAAGGCACUCCCCAUCUUCCCUGGAUGGGCCUCUCACUUGUACACUGAGGCAUUCACAGGCAGGGAAACCCCUGCAGACUAAGAAGGAGGCUGGGCUCAAGAACUAGUGGGUCCAGAUUUUGGCAGAGGCAGGGAAGCUUCCAGGAAAGGGGCUCCUCGUUAACAGCUGUGUGGGAGAGGGAAUGUGUGUGGUAUGCUUAUAUUCCAUUUGUCUAAAUAUUGUUUGCAUGAGGUCAGAGACCUUAGGCUUUGUUCUGACUUUCUAUGAAUGCAUAAAAAACCACCCCCAAAUUUAAGUCACUUCAAGCAAUUUAUUAGUAUCUCUAAUAGUUCUUGAGCUGGCUGGGCUCAUGUGGGUGGUUCUU
rnacentral:lncRNA from 1 species